CUUCCUAUAAAUCUUUAUACAGUGUUUAUCUAAAACUGCUAUAAUUUCUGACCACAAAGUCUUUUCCUAAAGUAUAUUGUAAAAAAAUUUCAACCAUUUUUUGGGGCUUCCAUUGAUGGCGUCUGUUGCAAGCGGCUUUAUCGUUUUCAUUUGUUUUAUUACAAUCACUGAAAAAUGUAUGUGAUUUCUAACACUUCUUGUACAAAAGGGCAACGACAACAAUUCGUCCCGAUAAAAGUUCCUCGGGCCCCAUAUGCAAGUGCUAGUAACACCAUUGGUAAGUUAGUUUGUGCUGCAGAAGUGACCAUGAACUAUGAAAAGCAUUCACUGUAUUAGGUCGCGUUGUCUUGUUAUCUGCAAACCAAUUUUGAGAAGCCCCAAAAGAAAUCUAGAUUAAAAUCAAUUUUGAGAAAUCUCGAAUGAAACCCUAAUGUGGAUUAAUUCUAUAGACAUUUAAAUUUGUCUAGUCCCAUAGCCUAGUUUAGCAACUUGCGAACUAAUAGCACCAACUUUUAUCAAUGGCUAGCUAGCCUUGAAAUUAUACCACUUUUGUACCCAUAGAUUUGAACAAACUCGUUACUUCCUUUCUUUGGUCUUUUGUUGUACACGUAGAAAGAAGACAUUCUGUAGUCCCUGCAUUUGGGCUACACCCUGCAUCUAACAUCUGUUCAAAAAUUUCCAUACACUUCCAAUACUCUUUCUUUCUUGCAAAAGCACCAAUUCUUGUUUAAGUCACUAUCUUGGGUCUAAGAUCCCUAGUCUUUAAAGAUAUAACUCCUCUACUUUGUCACAGAAACCUACUUUAGCAUUUACAUUUAUCAGGAUAUUAGUUCCUGCCUGCAGGAAACCAUAGCAGAGGUAGCGAUGCUUAAAUUGUUAUUAAUCUGUUUACAUUCAACCAAUCAAAGUGCCAGAAUUCUUUGCAUAAAUUUGUUUCUGAAUAUUUGUUAGGUACAAGUUGCAUAUAUUUUAUGUAAAAUUUUCAUUCAAAACAUUUUGGUAGUGUUUCAUUGGCAUAGCAGAUGGUUGCCAGAAGGGUUCCCGGAUACCAACGAGAGAGAACGCACAUAAAACUAUGUCUGUGUCAGUGCAUUGCAGGUCAUUAUAGUAUGGCUGGCAACAAUGGAAUAAUGGAGAUUUUCAAGAACAAGAUGGCAUCCGUUCACCUAGCCACAUGUCUUGCGUGUGCUUCCAUAUUUUGGAUACUCGUCUCGAUGUGGUGAACACGAAAGAAAUAAGGAGAUAUUUCACAAGAUACAACAUGCAUGUACUUUUGCUUUCACUCCGUGACUUUCCUAUGUCGUGGACGCAAACUGACCUUCAUUCACAUGCAAUAACACUGUACUGCCAACUCUGUUUCCCAUCACCAAAAGACUAAUAUACAACCUCGGCUUUUUAUCCCUACAUACUUCAGUCUGCACAGAACACCAAAAAAAACUUUUACCAAAAAAAAAUAAAUAUGAGUUUUAAUACGAAUCUGAGAUUGCUGUACAGAGAGUAGGAAAAAGUGUGGUAACAUCCGGUCUUGUCCUCGAGCAUCGCAUGUUUGUUCGGUAAGCACGUUCAUCAUUUUCUAUUUUUUGUUUUCUUUAUACUCCUUUAACUUUUUUCUGUCAUUCAGCCUGCACGUUACAAUCACAAAUGACGUUUUUUGUCCCAAGACUUAUUCUCUGUUAGUAUCUCAGCCCAAUGCAGUUUUAUGUGCAGGCUUGACUUUUAACAGAUACCCACUUUGAUUAUAUGAUUUUAGAACAGGAUUUUUUAAAAAUAGAACAACCCAACCGUUAUUCAAAUCCAACAAAUCCCCUCUUGUCCUUAUCUUCUUUGUUGCUUUGGAAGAACUACAUUUAUGCUUUCAACAAUGGUUUCCUUCGCUUAGUCAGAGAGGAAAUAUAUGCAAUUUGAUGAUGGCAAGAAGGGACUGAUGUUUUGUGUAUUGUUGUUCACUGGGACUUCGUGUGUACAGACAAAAGUGUAGCUCCCUUGUUUGUGAACAGUCAGCCCUGUGAUCUGCAAUUUCUAUUGUCAUUACCUAGAGAAUUGCAGUGAUUUGCUAAGCGUUGGAGAAUUUUUAUGGUUUACGUGGAGGAUUAGUUUAUUGCCAUCUUAUCUUGUUUUGGGAAUUGCUCAUCUUCCUCUCCUGCUAAAUUGUUAUGGCAAUUGGUCCGUGUGUUCUGAUAUUUUCAUCAUUGCCAUCCAUUAGACAGCCAAAACAAUGCUUUAUUCUGAAAGUCUUCACUCCAUUAUUUUGUUUUACUCACUAUAGACUGAAAGUCUGCAAGUCCAUCCCCCAAAAGUGUCUUUAAUUAGAAUGCAUCUAUCAUUGUAUCCUCUGAUUCUUUGCUUCAUUUUCCAAAAUUCACGAAGCCUCUAAAAGAAUAUGUGAAAAAAUAAGGAUUAAGAAUCUAUGCUUCACCCUAUUCCUUUUUAACGAUUUUCAGUUGAUUUGCUGAAAUGUGUGCAGGAAACACACCUAUACUGCUGUACGCAUAAGGUUCCUGUAUGUGGAGAUUGCAUCUGCUUUCCUGAACACAGUGCUUGUGAGAGUGUAUGGUUGAUUCUACUUUUGAAAGGAUCCUCAUCUCCAACUGGUUACACGUCCUUCAUGCAAAUCACAAAGCCAUAUUUUUAUGUUGGACAAGAAUUCUCUAUUGCCAUUAGCUUCUGAACUAUUAUCAAAUUUCUCUGAGCAAGGAUUCUCACAGCCACGUUCUGAGAUUCGAUCAACAGUUUUUAGUUUGUCAUCACCUCUUGCUGAAAUGUACAAAGAUCUGAAGAGUCAAAAGGCACAGCAGAAUUAUAUUCCUAAAUAUCAAAAUGUAUUAGAGAGUGGGGAAACACUUAAAUCACCAAGAAAGACGAUAAACAUUGAAACUCCAAAGUCUUGUUCACCUGAGAUUGGGAUUGCAGAGUCUGUUGGAAGUCCAAAGAUUUCUAUGGUGUACUCUAGAAAUUGUUCUUUUCGAGGCGAGAAAAAAAGAACCGACUGCCCUGUUCAGGACUGUGGAAAAGGUUUGAUGCAUAUACCAAGUGGUUAGUCAUCUUUUCAAUUUAUUUCGCAAAUUCCAUAACAUAUUACCAUUUUUUACUAAUUCAAAGUUUUAGCUAGAUCAUGCAUUGCUCUAGAUUCCUGUAAAAGGAAAAUGAAAUUGAUGAACAUAAAUGGUAUUAUCCAUGGCCAUCCAGGGAAUAGAAUAUGCACUUGCAUAUUACAGUAAAUCUAUUUAUGCUCGACAAUUCUUGCAAUUGUACAUGUGAUUAGUCUAUCAUACGCACCUUUUAAAUGAUGGUGGAUGCAAAAAGAUUCCUAAAGUGGGAGCUACUAUAUAUAUUAAAAACAGAUAAUAUGCGUAAACUUGACAUUCUUUAUUCCGUAUACAUCUCAGCAUGUUUGAACGUCAUGGGUUUCAACUUUCAAUCAAGGUGUAUGGUUUUAAAUCCAAUAUAGCCAUUAUACUUGUGCUCAACAUGCACUAAAGAUAAAUGUGCCUGAUAUAGGUUCUAGAGAUCUCUAGCUAGGCUUAUAGAAGAGCUUCCAUUUAUAGUCUUGCCAAACAUUUGGGCUGAACCUAGGUCUCGACUCUCUAUACAGUUGAUUGUGGAUAUCUUUUUAAUGAUCUUGGAAUAUUCAUAGAUCUACAUGGGAAAAUCUCAAUUUUUUAAUCUGCAAUGAUUAGUUUGGAGGAAGUUUUGUACUUUUAAAUCUGCUCCUCAGAGUGUGAGAAGUUGGUCUGGACUCUAAGCUACUCAUCCUAAGAGUUUUUGACAAAAAUCAUUUCAACUGGCAGAAAUCUUCAUCUAUGGGACAUAUCUUUGGGUUUUCUUUAUUGGUAAAUUUGUCUUUUGUUCAGAAACUAUUUACAUAUAUUGAGAUCCAGCUCAUUGCUUGGAUGUGUAGCUACUAUUUUUAAAUUCAUGGUUCAGAUCAUAUAUGUGUAGAACCAAUUCAUCAUCACAAGUAAAGCUUAAUGCAAUCUCCUCUUUUAGGUAAUAUUUUUUUAGGUUGUUGCCUGAGCAACAUAAGUUAGCUCUUCCCUAUGAGUCAUACAAGUGUUUUCAAGAUCAAAUGUGUUAACCUUCCUAAUGUAUUUUAUAUUCCAUUUAAUGAAUUUUGUGGAAGGCAAUUGAAGUUUGAAGUUUGAAGUUUGAACAAUAGAGUCUCCUCUAGAAGAUUUACAGACCACCUAGAGCACCUUUUGACCUGAGCUAAUCAACAUAAAAAAUGAAAACAAUUGGGAAAAAAAGCACAAUAUAGAAGAGACAGAAGAAUAUAAUGUUAUGAUCCAAAAUGAAAUCUGAAACUGAAACUUUACAGAAAUUUAUAUUGAAAACUUGAAAACAAAAGAAGGAAUAUGGUUUUAGGAUUUCAGUAUUGAAAUGCUUUUUUUCCCUAGAAGAGAUUUACAUUAAAGGAUAUCAAAGGAAACAGCAGAAAUCUUACACAAACUAAAUGUAACUUUAGUGUAUUUCAAAGAACAAUUGCAGAUAAUACAUGAAAUUAAGAAAACUUUCCAGAGAAGGUACAAUCAAACUCCUGGGCACUGCAUUUGGCUCAGAAAGUUUCUAGCAGACUACCUUGUAAAACAGAAAUUUCCAAAAUCUCUAAAACCUUAGUAGUUAGUACCAGUGUAUAAAAAUUAAACAAAUCUUUUUUCCACUUUAAUCUUCUAAAUAAUUAUUUAGUAUUUUCUUUAUUCUUCUAAAAUAAUAUUUAGGCUUUUCUUGGCUUUAUUUCUUGUAUUCAGUGCUUUAUUAUUUGAAAACAAUCUUAACCUUUGCUUAUGCACAGCAGAGGAUAUUGGCAAAGAUUGUUAAUUUUAGCUUUACGUCAUGUAUACACAAACACAUCAUGCAACAACAAUAUCAGAACUGUUUUUCUAGCCUCCGGCAGGAACUUCGCUGCUUGAAGCUCUUGUUAUACUUACUAAUAUCUGGUUUACAAACACCUCAUUCCAUGGUUUCCAAUAGUGCCUCCAUUUUGUCAUAUAUGCCCAAACGACUGUAAGUAUUGAGCAUGCUAUUAAAAACAAAUGUACCAUGUGUAAGCCCACUUUACUGCAUUUGGCUCAAAAGUUGUUCAGAUUCAACCAGUUUUCCAUUUUUUCCAUAUGCACUCAACACCAACAUGUAUGAUUUGACGGUAGGCUUAUUUAAGGCUCUCUAUGGUCAGAGUGUACAAUUUAGCAUUUCAAAAGUUUGUACAUUCAAAAAUUGAAAAAAGGAACAUUUCAGUGUUAGACAACAAGUUUUAAUUAUGUUUCUCACCAUCCCAUAUUCUUUGAGUUAUGAAAGAGAAUAAGGAAUAAAUUUUCUCACUUUUGACAGUUAUUUUUAAUUUCCAAGAUUGCCAGCUACAAGAAUAAAAUGUCACUAAUUUAAAUUUUAAACUAUUUCAGCUCUAGAAUGUUUUUCUAUGCUUAGCUUAUAUUGUAUAUGUUUUAACACUUUUCCAAGCUAGUGACUUAGCAUCUAAUUGAACUUUUAGUGAUAGGUUUCCAAUUAAUAGAUCAUAUGCCCUAUUUUGAACGUGUGCUUUAUGUCUUGAUUGUAUUGUUAACUUAACACUCCUUUCUCUAUUUAUGACCCCCCAUACAUGGGUUGUUAAGAAUUUGGUUUUUGUUUUUUGACAAAUGAUUAAAUGUUACUAUUAAACAGGUUAUUUGUGCUUUUGUUUUAGUUGAGUUUUAAAUGCAUACUAUGAACUACAACAUUCCAUUAUUUCUUUACGGUUGCAUUAUGAAGGUUGUACAUUACUUCUCAAAUUUAUACUUUUGCAUGAAGUUUCUCAUUGUUCUACAGAAUUGUGCAAUGGAAUUCUUGUGAAAAUAUUUUGCACUACUCUUUUAAACACCUUUAUAUUGUCUACAUGUGCCCAUGUGAUGACAACCAAGCAACAAGUCUUUUUUCUUACUCUCCAUGAUGGCUAGAACAUAUUUUUUGGAAAUUUACUUUUGUGGUGGACCAAACAAUCAAGCUCAGGUCUUGUGUUUGGGAUCUCGUACAUCUUUUUUAUGGUUUAUCUUUUGAGAAACACUUAGAUGACUACUGGUUUCCUCAUUAUGUAUUGAAUUUUGCUCAUGAGUGUGAGUUCUGAUUUUCUAGGAGGUACCAAGGUGAAUUACUUUAUGAUGAUUAUUGCAAUUAUUUUUUUAUAUGAUCUUGGGUUUUUUUGCAAGAGCCCACGUUCAUUAGAUUCUUAAUUUUUCAUGUAAUUGAUGUAAUAUUGCCAGUCCUAUGAACAAAUGUGUAUAUGCAUUGUAGUAACUAGUAAGUUAUAAUUAAGCAAAUGGUUUUGUAAAACGAUCAUAAGACUGAGAUUGUGAUUAUGUAAUCCCCGUAUAAUCUAUUUCUUUCACUUCUCUUGAGUUUUAUCGUUCUUAGUACUUUCAGAAAUAUAAAUUAUUGAUGUUUUGUUUGUUUUUUUAGUUGUUGCAAUGCCAAUGGUGUGAAUAUGUUGAGUCACCCCAUGGUGUUCAAGAUCAAUAUGUGAAUUUUCCAAUGCCAAUGCGACCUUCAGGGGUAGGGGUAGUGCAAACACCAUACCCAAAGGUAUAAUUUCUCUAGUGUGACAUGGUAUCCUAUGAUAUAACCUCUCAACCAAAUUAGUUAACAAGGGAAACAAAUUUCAUAGUUUGUAGUAGGAUUCAAAUUUACUUGGCUUCUGAUCAUAAGGGAUUUUGUAUUCAUUAUUUAAAAGCUCUUCAAGGAUUUUAGGUGAUCACACAACACUUUGUAUGGUUAAAAUUGAUUUAGAUUCCUAAAUCAUAUGCUCUUUUUCUUUACAAAAGGUAUUGUAUUCAAGAAGCUGAUCUAGCUCUAUGUAAAUUUAGAUCUCUUGUUUAGAUUCCCUCAAGUAUUAGGGAUUGCCACCUUGGACAUUUGAUUUUUAGCUAUCUAUUUUUUGGUUUAUUUUCUAUA